rnacentral:rRNA from 1 species
UGCCAGCAGCCGCGGUAAUACGGAGGGUGUAAGCGUUAAUCGGAAUUACUGGGCGUAAAGCGCGCGUAGGCGGUAUGGUCAGUCGGAUGUGAAAGCCCCGGGCUCAACCUGGGAAUUGCAUUCGAUACUGCCAAACUAGAAUAUGGGAGAGGCAAGUGGAAUUUCCGGUGUAGCGGUGAAAUGCGUAGAUAUCGGAAGGAACACCAGUGGCGAAGGCGGCUUGCUGGCCCAAUAUUGACGCUGAGGUGCGAAAGCGUGGGUAGCGAACAGGAUUAGAUA